UCCUGAGGGGCUCUUCCAAAUCCUUCAGCUGGAAGGAGCCGGAUGGGCUGAGCCAUCUGCCAGUGAGAGCCCCCUAUUCUGUUCCCCCCGCCCUUCCCCUGCCAAAGAAAUCCACCAAACAGCGAGAGGAACGCUAAACCACAAUGCCGUAACCUGUGCGGUUCAAGCUGUCUGGCUCAUCACCUGGAUACGAACACGGAGCUCGCAUUCGGAGAUGUGGCCAACAGAGCCAGCUGUUGAAGCUGGUGCCACUCCUGCAGGCUGCACAUUACGGGAGGAGGAGCGAUGGCUAACUCUAGCGAGCUCGCGGGAAAUACCCUGGCCCAAAAGCUUCGCCGUGGCGUUCUGGAAGGAGAUUGCAGCCAAUCCCCGAGCCACACAUCGAUUCUCAACGCCUCCGUUCGGCAGCAAAAGUCUCCUGUCUGUUCUGCACACACCCCCAGUGGAAUGAGGUUCCUACUGUAGUCUGGACAACAAAAUCCAUGCCCAUCUUCUGACACAGACUGAAGACUCAGAUUGCACCAUGACCCCGCUUUAGAUAACUCUUCUUUUCUCUGUCUUUGGAUUUCCAUUUGAAUGAUUAUAUAGUUGUGUAAAGAUAGGCUAUCUGUCUAGUGGUACUUUCUUUGGAGACAAAUUGUUGUUUGUUAGAUGAACAGUGCACUUAUCAAUUAUUAGUGGGCCUCUGUGUCUUGGUGAUACCGCAUUUUUGUAUGCCUGAGAAUUACACAGAUCUUCUCCAGUUCACUCUGGAUAAGAGCGUCUGUUAAAUGAUUGUAAUGUAAUGGAAUGGAAUCAUUGUUACUCGUACCACGCACCUUAAUAGCUGAGAAUGGAUCUGUGCUUUUAUCACUGGCAAAACAGAAGCAGAACUGAGCAAUUGAAUUUGUAAAUUAAAUUCAGCGAGCGCAGCUGGAUUUUGGACUCACAACUAAGAUGGAAUUUCAAUUUAAGAAAAGAGGGCUUUAUCUGAUAAGCUACUGUCAAAACGGUCUCAUGAGUCUCCAUUUGCCAUUCACAGCUUGCCAAAAAAUAUACUAUUGACAUCUGCAGCAAGAGUCCUAAUAAAUACCCAAUUUAUGUUCCAUCUGCUAUUAGGCUAAGUCUCCAAUUUUCAGAGAUUACAUUUUCAAUUAGCCCAUCUGCCUUGAGCGGAGACAAUCGAGGGCUGGGAGCUUUGUUAUCUGGGGCCAGUGUUCCUCCAUCCAAACAUGGCUGGCACCUGGCCUACAAACUGCCAGUCAUGUCCAGUGGAAGUAAAAAUGUAAUAGUGCUCUUGUCUGCAGGGGGUACUGUGCCUCUCCUCCGUCCUCAUUUGACAUGAAUGGUGUGUGGACAAUGAAAUGGAGAGGCCUGCUGCAGUUCUCAUUCUGCUUGGGAUUCAGUCAUUUAUACAACUGUUUAGUCUUCCUGUCCUCAUUUCCUAUGUCUCUUUUCCCUUUUUACCUCCCCCCCCAAUCACUCAAAAUGAAUGUGAAUCACUCAGACUGUCAGUGAAUCAGCCAGUCAUUCAGUAUUAGCAAGGGAAAGUACCAUGUGCUUGUGCCAUGACUCAUUAACCAGGAAACAGAGAAGACGGUAUACUUGUGUGUGUACGUAUAUACAGAUGGCAAAUUAAAAGAAAAACCAGCAUAAAGUGUCUUUGUCUCUAUAGUUAUUUUAAUAACAAUAUUGCUCUCUCCAGUAGUACUACUUUUAAACGAUUUUAAAAACAUGAACCUAUCAAUAAGUCAA